rfam:Rattus norvegicus chromosome 4, whole genome shotgun sequence.
GGGGAUUUAGCUCAGUGGUAGAGCGCUUGCCUAGCAAGUGCAAGGCCCUGGAUUCAGUCCCCA